CGAGUUGGCCGGGCGGCCGCGGCUCGCACACCGAGUCGAGGAAAGUCCGGACUUCACAGAGCAGGGUGAUUGCUAACGGCAAUCCGAGGUGACUCGCGGGAAAGUGCCACAGAAAACAAACCGCCACCCUUGUGGUGGUAAGGGUGAAACGGUGCGGUAAGAGCGCACCAGCAUUCCGGGUGACCGGAAUGGCUCGGCAAACCCCACCCGAAGCAAGGCCAAGAACACCGCACCACGGUGCGGUCGCGCAGGCGCCUGAGGGUUGCUCGCCCGAGCCUGCGGGUAGGCCGCUUGAGGCACCCGGUGACGGUGUGUCCAGAUGGAUGGUCGCCGCCGCGUUACUAGGUAGCGCGGAACAGAAUCCGGCUUACAGGCCAACUCGCCCG
rnacentral:RNase_P_RNA from 1 species